CAUGGCUCAGAUUGAACGCUGGCGGCAUGCUUUACACAUGCAAGUCGGACGGCAGCGGGGAGUGCUUGCUCUCUGCCGGCGAGUGGCGAACGGGUGAGUAAUGCAUCGGAACGUACCGCGUAAUGGGGGAUAACUGUCCGAAAGGACAGCUAAUACCGCAUACGCCCUGAGGGGGAAAGCGGGGGAUCUUAGGACCUCGCGUUAUUCGAGCUGCCGAUGUCGGAUUAGCUAGUUGGUGGGGUAAAGGCCUACCAAGGCGACGAUCAGUAGCGGGUCUGAGAGGAGGAUCCGCCACACUGGGACUGAGACACGGCCCAGACUCCUACGG
rnacentral:rRNA from 1 species